GGAGUGUGGCCUUGGAUUCCACAGACCUCGCAAUUCUGAGUUAUAGCAACCACGGCGGCUGGAGGCGAUACGUUUAAACUUUCAAUCUUCUGGACCAAAGCAUCCACUUUUGCAUUGACGUGAUCAAGGUUACUUAUCUCGUACAUGCCAGUUUUCGGUUGAGGUUUUUCCACCGUUGUUCGUUCGGUUCCCCACUGAUAGUGGUUUUGGGCCAUGCUC
rnacentral:lncRNA from 1 species